GUUCAUGUUCUCUAGAAAGUAACAUGCAGGUGUGCGAGGCAUACGCCAAUGGCAUGCUGAAGAAACACAGCUUGUAUCGCCCAGCUAAGCGCUUAUCACAGAUAACACGCAAUCAGAGACUUCCUUACUGACACUCGAUGCGUGUCCAUCGUGCGUGUCUAACGUCGUACUUCAUAUUCCACCAGCGCUCCAGCUUCCCUUAGCGUUUAUCCAACGUUCACAUAAACGUGGCCAUUUUUUUACCCAUUGCGGAAGGUACGUACGCCGAAGACAAACAUCUUGUAUCACUGAGCUAACCACUAAUGCCAGAUGAAACGCAACUAGAGAAUUCCUAAUUUCUACGACAACAUUGGCCCUGUGGUAAUCAGUAAACAGAGCGGAAUAACUAAUACCUUGACGCAACUCGUCUCCCGACUCUUAUCUCGCGCAACGCGUACACCGAGCGUCUAGCCGCUGAGCCGCCGCCCACGGCGAUGGAGAACGCCGUUAGCGCCGGGGCUCAUCUCGUUUGGCAAGCGCGCCAUUCAGUCGGCCUGACAGGCGGCUUGCCCCGCAGCGCGCCGUGUCGGUGGGGAAUAAAGUGACAGUGUAAUGCUUUUCAGCCACUCCCAGCAACAAGUUAGCGCGGGUCGCUGGCUGCGCGGGUCUGGCCUGAGCGCGCGAGCGCACGCACAAAUUCACGCACGCAAUUGCCUGCGUAUAGACUUCAUUCAUUGUGCAACACGCCUGUCAUUAUGGUAAUUAAUGACCCCCGGCUGGGCGUGACGAGCGCUGCGGAGCGUUGCGAGUCGGGAGGGAAACGUGUUCGGAAGGGAAGCGCGUGGCAUGUUAAGAGUAUAAAGGCGGCGGUGAACGGUGUCGGUAUACAAUCGACGACGCUUCGAACAAAAGGGCCACGGAAACGUGGAUACACAUCUUUAUGCGCGGUUUGUCGCUUUAGAAAGGCGGCAAUGCGGCAAAGCUGAUCGGGCCUCUCAGUUAAUAUAAGAGCAAGAAUUUCGGUAUUCAGGGCUCUUUUUCGAGAGAAGUGUAUGCCACAUCAUACCCCCUUUCGCAGUGUUCCGUCUUCACGCUAUGCGAAAGAGCGAAAAAAUUUGGCGCCACAUUCACCCUUUGGAGAUGAUUGGCGGCGUUUAUGCGAUUCGCAAUCGUUCUUAUGGUGAGUGCGUAAUGGGUGAUGAUAAGUUUUAUGGGUUCUGGUGAUUAUUAUGAUGAUUAUUCUGUUCCGACGCCAUGUCUCCGUGCAAUCCAUGAAUCACGAAACCUCGUGGGUCCAUCAGCAGGCACACGAUGUGGAAAUCUCGCUCCCAACCACAAUGCGGAAUGAUACGACAACACAGCGUACCUUGUUGCAUUUACUGCGCCCCAGUUGAAACUCCGUAGCAACGCCCCGCUGUUCCUAGUAUCCUGGCUCCAACUUCGCUGCAAUGAUUAUCCAUUCAAGCGGCCGCGCUCGACGCGGAGGUGUCUGUUGCGGAUGAUAAGCCAUCGUUUUAAUAUAUUUAGGGUUGCAUAAAUCUUGCGCCACAUUGGCACAUCCUUUAGGGGUGAUUAACAAAGAAUGUGGACAUACCAACAUGCCAUACGCAGUGCCAAAGUUGUUUGUACGGGUACAUUCCCAGUGGCACAUACACCCACUGACCCACGUUGUCUACUAGGCAAGAGAGCAGCCAUGGCUGCAUGUUGUCUAUUCAGCCACUUACGGAGUAGCCCAUGUUCCCUGCUCGGCAAGACACGAGCUAGAGCAUACCUAUAGUGGUCCAAGAUAGUAGACAACUUGGGUCACUGGGCGAAAUAAGGUUAGAUAUAAACGUGUACAAACCGCAAUGAGGGUAAAGUUGCCAAUGAAUGUAAUUCGCAAUAAAGGCUAUCACUGUCAUAAGUACAUAGUAACACGUCAAGUGUGACACAGCAUCUUAACAGCGACGCAAUAACAUUGAUUUUCAUUUUUCCGUAGCCGCAAGUAUUAUUCUACCAUGCAGGACAAAGUCUGUUCUCUCUAGAAAGAAGUAAUAUUAUACUUAAAUGAUGAAUCGGCAUGCAUUGACGGCAGACAGGGACGCAGCAAUGAAAAAUAAAAAAAGAGAGAAAUUUAUUACAGAAAAGCCAACUUCAACUGGUUUUAUUGACCCGCCAAACGCCGGGUGACCGAACUAAGUUCGCUGUACUUCAUUGUCCAGAUGGUUGUGACGCCAACGCCAUGGCUGCCAACAACGCCAGACAUUCACGCCGUGUACAUGCUGUGCUUUGCAGAGUCUAUUAUGCGUGGAGGAAGGACCCGGCAUUUGAUGUCAGCGCCUUUUUUUUUUCUUUUUGUCAAGACCAAGAAGCUAAUAAAUACAAAACUAGCCUACAAAAAUAAAAUCCAAUGUGGCUGUCUCCAUCAUGUCUAAACGAGUCGACGCCCAUAAGGCUGCGCAAGCUCUCGUUUCGUACGACGCCUCGGAGGAUCGAACUUCGAGCUGCUAGAGCCACCAACCGGCAAGCGAAGAAUAGCUGGCGCCUGUGCGUGACGCGCUUAAAAGAUGGCGUGAGACCGAGCAAUGCGGAGUGCGCGGUUGUGAUAUUCCCGUUCUCUGUUUUUCUUCUCUUUUUCGUCGAGCGAUCACUGCGCUUAGGAAACAGCAUUGCUGACCUGUUCACGUGAUUUUGCACCUCCUAUGCCGCGCGUUUGCGCGUGUGCCCGGUACAGUGUAACCAAACGCUGAAAGAAGACGAACCAAACCAAAGAAAGUGUUCGAGCGGUUGGGUAACGUCACACUCCGACGGGCUCCCUCUGAAAGAAAUUCGCGAAUGCUCUCACUGUAUACGCUCUGGAAAAUUGGGGAUGCGAAACCACACGCCAGAUUUUUAUCUCUCUUCUCAAAGCCGCCAGGAAAAAGAGACGGACGGAUACUGCGGAGGUUACGGAGCGGUGAUGGUGUAACGGCACGCGACCAGAAAAGCACGUAAUGGAUGUCCCCUGGAUAAAGCACGAAAACUUAAAGCGAGCGGCGUGCAAAAUUGCCGGACGGCCAAAUGCAUUACUCUUUGCUCCGUUCAGAUCCGUGGAAAGCGUAGCUCAUUUGCCGGAAAACGCUUUUACUCAACUAUCAUGGGGCUGUGAGUGGAGCAAGGCGGCAGAAGAAAUGUUUUAACUGGUUCUGUCCACAAAAAAAAAAGAAAAGAAGAAGAAAACAUAUAAUGCAAUGUGAAAUACGAGUAGGAAAAGGAAAUGCAAAUAUACUAAGAACCGACCGUGAUGACGUAAUGGCUUUUGCGUUGCUGAGCCCGAGGGCGGGGGAGAAAAUCCAGGCCGCGUAGGCCGCAUUUCGAUGGGGGUGGAAAAAAAAUAAAACGCCGUGUAGCGUGCUUUGGGUGAACGUUAAGACACCCCCGGCUAUCACGGCUAUCAAAACUAUCCUGGAGGCCCACGCUACGGCGUGCCUCAUAAUAACACCACGGUUUUGGCACGUAAAACCCAAGAAUUUAAUUUCACUUAUAUUAAGAACACAAAAUCCUUUUUGCCUAAAUUCCCCUAGGGCUAUACGCCACCAAUUUGACAAGUUCCCUUCAGCAGGAAAGAUUGCUCGUAAACUGUGCUGCCUUGACUGCUCCGUCUAACAAGAGUCUUUUAAAAAGUGUUAUAACGAAGUCCGAGGUAUUACGUGCCAAAACCGCGAUCUGAUUACAAGGCACGCCGUAGUGGGAGGACUCUGGAAUAACUGUGACCACCUAGGGUUUUCCUUGACGCGCCCCUAAGCGAAAGUGCACGAUAGUUCUUGCAUUUCGCCCCCAUCGAAUCGCUGCUGCCGAGAUCGGAAUCGCAUGCGCGGACCUCGAGCUCAGCAGCACCAGCGAAUCCAGUGGACUACCGGGGCGGAAAAUCCAGUGGGCUGCCGGGGCGGAAAAGUAAUAAAUGUUGGCAGGCAUGCUUUACGUAUAUAAUUGAUGAACUAGGCACAAUAGCACGCCGCGCAAAUGUUCAUGACGUCAUGGAAAACAGGUGCGGAAACAUCAUGUCGGCUUGCGUCUUUUCUGGGGAAGCCUCGCGCAUGCACUUCAAUCCAGCAAUUUCAGACGCCCGCAUGAUGCCUAGUUAGUGGUUAUAACUUGCCGAGAUAACCGAGGCUUCGAGAAGCGGCAGGCAGAAGCAAGGUAGUGAGCGUAUACUUAUAUUAACUAGAUGUGUCCACACGCUGCUCAAGUUUAACAAGGCUGGCCGCUUAAUUAUUGCGAUCUCUUAAGAGUCACGGACAGCUGUAUUUCUUCUUCAUUAAUGGUGUCGUCAGUAAUUGCGAAAGAAUAAUAAAAAAAUUGUAGUAUCCCAGUUCUCGCCAGAAGCUAUUACCGGAGAGCAAAGUUGGCAAUGGCAAAUGUUACUGUGAUUCAAGCGAAGCACCUAGUUACUUUCAACAGACUCCAAUUAUGCUGCGAGAUAAACGAUCCUAAGUUCAAAGAGAUCGCGCUGCAUUUUUGUGCUUUUUACGUAGCAACAGUUAGCCUCGAGAUGUUUUAGGUUAUGGUUUCUUGCACGUUGACGAACAUUUAUACUUUUUCUCCUUCCUCGUUGCUGUGUUUCGGAUCAAUUUCUAAUAUUAAAUCGAUGUGACGUGUCCCAUAGUCCUUGCGGGUACGCAUUGUACGAGCUUUGGCAAUAGCCAUUUUUGAAUGCCAAUAAGCCUCUAGAUGUUCGAUGCCUGCGAUAUGCAUGAUAACCAAAAACUAUGGUUCUGUACUUCGUGAGACGUUUCUCCUUUUAUUAACUCGUCUUUAAGGUGUCUGAUCUCUGUUAACAUGACGCACGCGCCGUACUUCGCGACCGUGCUAUGAUUUUCUAUAAACAGUGCAAAAUAAAAAAGCGACUAUGCGAAAAGCCCAUAUAUUCGCUCCGCCCGAAAGAGGGCGACGAGACGAGCCACUCUCGCUGAAAAACACGCAGGCUGGCCUGUGGUGCUCUGCACAACCACCUCUGCAGCACUCAGCAAAGAUUAACCGGUGUAAACUGAAGCACGAAGAAACGCAUCAGCAAAGUUGCCUAUCAAGCGACGCCCACAAAGAGGCUCUAUAAUACCAAAUGCCAGCGACGAGGCGCUCGUCAACUGGUUGACUGAUUGAUUGAUUUUAUUGAUUGGGUUCAACGUCCAAAGCAACACUUGGGUUAUAGCAGACGCGGUACUCGAGGGCUCCGAGUUCAUUCCUGCCACCAGGGGUCCUCUAACCUGUACCCGAGUCUCAGUAUGCGAGCUUUUUUU